AAUAUGAACUAUAAAUUUAUUUUGAAGUUAAAAGCUGCCCAGAGAAGGAGAAAUUAAUUAUUACUGUGGGUAAAUGUAGGGUUAGUGGUUCUAUUUAUAUAUAGUGGAGUGAGAGGAAGCUAGGGUUUUGGGGAUUGGGCUUUUAACAUAGUCGUGAAGUUAGGCCCAUAAGUAUGAAGCCCAUUUAUUUCAAAGCUUGGUUGGGUUGUCUUUUAAGGGGUCGUUAGGUAGCUCGAUAAGAAAGAACUUUAUGUAUUUAUUUUCGUAUAAUUUAUAUGAUAUGUUGUAGAGGUUGCAUAAAUAUUGAAAAUUUGAAACACAAAAUCGAAUCAAAUUUUUUCAGAGUUUCGAUUUCGGUAUUUCAGUUCUCAGUUCGGUACUCAAUUUACUUUUUUAUAUUUUGGUUUGAUUUUCGAUACGUAUUAUUUCGAUUUUUGAUAUUUCAAUUUAAACUGAAAUAUUAUACUAUAAUUUAUAUAAAUUAUAUAAUAAUAAUUAAAAAUUAUAAAUGUUAAAUAAUUUUUUUUUAAAAAAUAAUGUGAAACUUAUGUAAUGUCUAUAUUCCUAAUUUAAUUUUUAAUAUUCAUCUUCCAGCCUCCUCUUAUUCCACUUCCUUUUACAGGCAGCAGCCGAUGGCAACGACUUCAAGUCUUCAACCGGCGACCAGCAGCCAGGUAUUCGGUACAUAAUUAAUAAAAUCGAAAUAACAAAAACUGAACUGAACCAAAAUAUUUAAAUUUGAUAUUCGGUACACAAUUUACAAGAAUCAAAAACCAAAAAAAAAAUCGAACCAAAAUAGCGAACGCCUACCCCUAAUAUUUUGUAGAAUGAUACAUUAUUUAUUUAAGAAAAAAUGAUAAAUAUAUCUAAACUGUCGUAAACCAUUUAUGAUACAAGAGAGUAUUUGCAAUCUAAAUGCAAGGAUAUUUGCAUACCAUUUAUGAUGGUUCAAAAAUAUAUUAUUCUUUUUACUAUUUAUUUAUGAAUUAAUACGAGUUUGAUUGACAAUUUAGAAAACUAUCCAACUAGUACAUUUAUACAUUAUAAGAGAAUUUAUGCCUUGUUUUAUUCAUUAACUAAUACUUUUAUAAAAUAAGAUUAAUUUAUGAUUAAUUUCUACAUUACUAAUAGCUACCUAACGAUCAAAAUGUGGUAGUUAUACAGUACUAUAUUGUUUGGUACAAAUUUUGAUGUUAUGUAAUAAAAUGUGGUAGUUAUACAGUACUAUAUUGUUUGGUACAAAUUUUGAUGUUAUGUAAUUAACUAGCAUCGUAUAUUGAGUAUUAUAAGAUGUAUAACUAAUACACUUUCGAUCUAGAUUGCUUGAUGUUCAUAGGGUGAAUAAUAAAUAAAAUUCAUACGCCAAAAAAUAAACUUAAAUAUUUUUAAAAAAGAAAAUAAUUCAAAAUAUAUAACACUUAUCAAAUUGUUAUAACAAACUCGAACUUUGAGCAUUUCAAUAUUUACAAUAUUGACGUGAAUGUCUAUAUAUCUGUAGGAUUAUACAACAUUAAAUAGUUAUGUCCUAAAUUUCAUUUAUUUCGUUACAAAAGACAUUUUGAUAUAUCUUGUGAAUCUAUGAUAUUAUGUCUUCAUAUUUACACUACAAAAAACACAAUGUGAAUUAUUUGAGAUUUUCCUAAGAGUAAUAUGUAAAUUCAAAAAUUAUUUAUUUUCUUUGUGAAUUUUCAUACUACUUUCCAAAAAAAUCACACAUAAUUCACAAUUUUCUCACAGUAUUUUGAUCAUCAUUGGCAAAAAAAUAAUAAUUAAAAAAACAAUAAAAUAAUUAUUUAAUCAUUAUAAUAAAAAAAAUUUAAACAUUACAAAUAAAUCAUGUAGUACCCCAACGUCCAAAUACACCACAAAAAAUUAGAUGCAAAGGAUAGCGAGGGGAACUUUAUUAUAGCUUCACUUACUAAAAUAUCACACUAUAAAAAGUGUGAUACACAAAAAUAUGUAAUUAGCAAAGCAUAUUAUAAAUCUACGCAAACCUUAUCGUUAUCUCGUAAAAAUAUAAUAUGACAAACAACUCAGUCCCUUAGAUGUUCAUAAUUAAUUGUGAUCAUUUUCACAAAUCAUUACAGGUCUGUAACUGUAAAAAAAUUACUCAUCAUUGUUUAUUCAUCGAAAAAAAAAUAUCAUGCAAAAAAAUAAUAUAGCUAUUCCAGUUAUUCUCCACAAAAAAAUUAAAUUAAAUGAGGAGAAAGAUGAAUAAAUGGAACAACACAAAUUAUUAUUGCUUCAAGGGAACGAGUUGAUCAAAAAUAAAAUAUUUUUUGCCAACCAGAUUAAAGAAGCAUAUAUAACUCAAAAUAAUAUAUAAAUAAACACAACUUUAUUUAGAAGUUAGGAGAUAAAUC
rnacentral:lncRNA from 1 species